rnacentral:rRNA from 1 species
UACGGAGGGUGCAAGCGUUGCUCGGAAUUAUUGGGCGUAAAGGGUGUGUAGGUGGCGCGCUAAGUCGGGUGUGAAAUUUCGGAGCUUAACUCCGAAACUGCAUUCGAUACUGGCGUGCUUGAGGACUGGAGAGGAGACUGGAAUUCAUGGUGUAGCAGUGAAAUGCGUAGAGAUCAUGAGGAAGACCAGUGGCGAAGGCGGGUCUCUGGACAGUUCCUGACACUGAGACACGAAGGCCAGGGGAGCAAACGGG